rnacentral:lncRNA from 1 species
UUCGCGGCGCUUCCUUCCCAGUGGCUUGUGGUGACGUCCGCCGCGCACUGGUUCGAGCAGCACCGCCUGGCCGCCGAAUCCGGAGCGCUGCUGGCCACCGUCUUCGUAUCGGACGCCGCCGCCCGCGCCCAGGGGCCCCUGCUGGAGCGUCUGCGCCGGACCUACGGCGGCGAGGCCGGCCCCGUGCACUUUGUGUUUGUGCACGUGGGCGCCAGCUACGUGCAACGCAGCGCCGCCGCCUCCCGCUCCGCCGCCGCCGCGGGCCUGCGCGGCCGGGAGGCUCUGGCCGACCUGGGCCGUGUGUCUAACGUGGCGGCCCUGCACGGCCUGGACGUGGCGCUGGGCUCGUUCCUGCCCAACGGCGGCCUGCGCGCCGUGCCUUCCAUGCUGCUGUCGCAGCCCUCCUCCUGCGAGUCUGCCUGCGCCUCCGUGUCCUCCUCCAUGGAUCUGGACACGGCCGCCGCCCGCUGCUGGGCCGCCGCCAGCCGCGCCGGCGAGCUGCGUCAGCUGGUGUCGGACUGGGCGUUCAUCAACACCGCCCUGGCGCGCGCCGCCGCAGCCUCCACCGCUGUGGCAGCCGCGACGGCGGUGAUCAAGGCCAAGGCGGUGGCCAUGGCUGCGGUCCCCCGCGACGGCGAGGUGCUGGAGGGCAGCUCCGGCGCGGCGCCGGUUGCGGCGGUCGUCAUGGCCCGUGAGCUGUAAUAGGACGGCACUCAAAACCGAGGCCGACAUGAAGCCACCACCAGGCUUAUCGGAGUUUACAGUUUCUGCUGAUGUUGAGUAUCGGCAAGAACAGCUUUCUAGUAGAUACGCACCCUGAACGUUUUCCGGCAUUUUUGUCUAAUAGCAUGCCGUCUGAUUUUCCUCAGCGCACUUGGCGCGGAGCAGCACGGCCUACGCAUUCUUUUUUGAGGCGGGUAAAAGAUGCAAGCAGAUGCAACAUGAGACGCUGACUAGUGCCCGAGGUUGUAAUGUGGGUUUUUGGUGUGUCAGGCGUCUGUUGUUUUGGGGGCUUAGCCUUUCAUUGUUUGAGCUCUGGCUUGGAUUCCUGGGCGGCUCACACACCGUGUGCCCACUGUUGGGUUGUUGAUGUAGUCGUGUGGGCUUGAAUUUCAUGGCACAUGCCGAUUGCUUUGAAACAGUCAUGGGGUUUGAACCAGGUCCAAGCCGGCCGCUGGCCCCGCAUUUUGGGAAUGACGCGGUCUCGGACUGGGCGCAAAGCAGCAUCUCCCCCGAGGGAGACCCACGACAUUAAUUUUGGUGCUACUGCCGGACGAAUUGAUGCCGACACCAGUGUACGGUUUGUUUUGUGAGCGUGCUCUGGUGUCAACAAAAUGAGGAAAGCAGCUGCAGGUUGAGGCAAGGCGUGCUGGAGGCAGGGUUGCUUGGCGCGUGUCCGCCUCUACUGCGAUGGAGCUUAGGCACAAAGAGCAAACCCUUGCGGGGCAUAUUUAGUGAGCGGACCUCGGAGGACGUGUUUUAGGUGUUUGGUAUUCGUGUGGCCUUUUCCUUUGUGUCCCGGCAGCUUCACGAACCUCCUGAGGUGUCAUAUAGAGUGCUGGGCCGUGGCAAGUACAGAACACAAAGAUGUCAUUGCAUAAGGCGUGUAUCAAAAGGGUUCCGCAUCAGGACAGACGGGGAGAACGGAGGGACUAUCAGCAGGCCCCAGUCCUGCAUAUGAUCUUUUGCUAGCCCUAAAACAGUUUUGUUUCCGAGUUCGAAGGUGCUAUGUGAAAUUGUUCAUGCCACUCCUGUGGCAUUAGCAUUUGCAUGCUGUAGUUUAUAAGUAGAGAUGUGAUUUGCUGACAAGUAGGUGUGUGUGAAGAAUACAUUUUGGCCAGAGCAGAAGGUCUCUAGAGUGAGCACGGUUGCAUGAGGAGGCAAUUGCGAGUGGACACAAGUCAGGGCUGGGUUUGCGUAGGAGGUGCUUCCACUGGUGCUGCCUGAUCAGCAUUGGAGCCCACUGAAAGAGGGCAUAUUCAGCUUUCCUUGAUGUAUGGCAAAUGAGCGCGCACGGCUCCCCUCGCUUCUUCUUGAGAACAAGGGUGGACGCCAGCCCACUGGCAGUGCAGUUGUAACUUGUAAGGGCAAGGGAUGUGCAUCAGGAGCAAAGCGUGAGAAGCAUGUAACUUAUGGUGCACAAGCGCUAGCAACAUGAGGGAGGAUGGGAGCGCAGAACGGUUGGAAGGGAAAGGCCGAAAGGGCACACCAACAGAGCAGCAGCACAUCUACGGGCAGCAGCAGAAUUUGUGGGCCGGGAUUACAGCCAUCACAAACGGGACCUUGCUUCUCAUCACCAUCUGCUCUUGCUUGUACCAGGAAUGCAGCGUGUGUCCACAAAACAUGCGUGCAGCGCACACCAGUGGUCACACGCAUUUCUCUCCAUCCCCCAUCACACCGUUGACCGCCUCUGAUGCCUUCCAGCUGGCCACCCUAAUUGCUGCAUACGCAUACUUUGAUGCAGUACGUGGGCCACGUGGGCCGGGCACGGCUAGCCAGCGCAUGGCGCCGUGGACCGACCAGGGUGACCAGGCCUUGGGGACAGCGGUGCUGUGACGGGGCCGGGUCCGACCAUGGUGCGCGGUCCUUAUUGCCAGGUACACUUGCAAGCGAUGUACCUGAUAGGCGUUUCCACGCUUCGGGCGUACGCACGGAGGAUGCGCACAAGGCCUAACAUGCCAUGUCCGUAACACAAACACGGAAGUUGGCCGCGCGGCUGCUCCAGCCGCUCGAUACAUGACUUCCACGCUUACAAGUCACCCCUAAGUAUAGCCCAUUGUAGCGAGCCUACUCACCAAAAGCGGGAAAGCGCAUUUAGCAUAUUGGCAGAUUGGGCGCGCGCUUGUACUGCAGCGUAAAGUUGCAUUCCCUCAGCCCCCAAAGGCAUAACACUAGUAAAAAGCACCGCAUGGCGUCCUAGAGAUACCAUUCAAGCGAAAACGCGGGGCGAGCAAAAUUCAACCGCACCAAGUCGCCGAGUCAGCGCAUUCUGCGAGUUUGAAUAAGGUAAGCAGUAGCCUUGCUGCCACUUUCCGCACUGCAGUUGAGAUGAAAGCUGCUGAGGCCUGAAGGCGGGACUUCGUAGAGAUGACUAGCCGUUGCCACACUCGUAAACUGCAUUCCUGUGAACUGGUCACAGGUCCUCCAAGCGCGCUAAGUAUGCAGCUCCGCGUUUCCCGGGGCCACGCCGGUCGCGCGACGGCCAAGAAGCCGACUUGUUCCGUCAUCGCGUACACGCACCGACAAGGCGCCCAGGCGAUGAGCACGACCAAGCCAGUUGCGGCACCCACCUAUAACCCCCAGGCUCUCGCGUUUGCGGCCAGCACGGUUGCCGGGGCGCUGCUUGCGAGGGCAGCACUGCUCGCGAAUGCAACCGACUUGCGAAACGCCCUCAGCAAACUGGGACAACUUGAGCGGCAGGCUGCCAUUGGAGCUUUUCACCCAAAGGUGCGGCCCGGAACGUAUGCUGGGCGUGAGAAUGCUACUUUAUGUGCCUGACAUUGCCGGUACUAAAAAACAUGUCACGCUGACCCGGCUUAUGACCUGAGUCGAUUGUGCAUUAAUGUGUUGGCUCUUGUAAAUUGCGUGUGCAGAGCCCUUUUGCGACUGCGCACGCGCCCGCCACCGCCGGCCCCUUCGCAGCGCUUCCUUCCCAGUGGCUGGUGGUGACGUCCGCCGCGCACUGGUUCGAGCAGCACCGCCUGGCCGCCGAAUCCGGAGCCCUGCUGGCCACCGUCUUCGUGUCGGACGCCGCCGCCCGCGCCCAGGGGCCCCUGCUGGAGCGCCUGCGCCGUACCUACGGCGGCGAGGCCGGCCCCGUGCACUUUGUGUUUGUGCACGUGGGCGCUGGCUACGUGCAACGCAGCGCCGCCGCCUCCCGCUCCGCCGCCGCCGCGGGCCUGCGCGGCCGGCAGGCUCUGGCCGACCUGGGCCGUGUGUCUAACGUGGCGGCCCUGCACGGCCUGGACGUGGCGCUGGGCUCGUUCCUGCCCAACGGCGGCCUGCGCGCCGUGCCUUCCAUGCUGCUGUCGCAGCCCUCCUCCUGCGAGUCUGCCUGCGCCUCCGUGUCCUCC